UACGUAGGGUGCGAGCGUUGCCCGGAAUUAUUGGGCGUAAAGGGCUCGUAGGCGGUUUGUCGCGUCGGGAGUGAAAACCUCGGGCUUAACUCGGGGCUUGCUUUCGAUACGGGCAGACUAGAGGUAUGCAGGGGAGAACGGAAUUCCUGGUGUAGCGGUGAAAUGCGCAGAUAUCAGGAGGAACACCGGUGGCGAAGGCGGUUCUCUGGGCAUGAUCUGACGCUGAGGAGCGAAAGUGUGGGGAGCGAACAGG
rnacentral:rRNA from 1 species